rnacentral:rRNA from 1 species
UGUAAGCGUAUACCAAAGUUGUUGCAGUUAAAACGCUCGUAGUCGGAAUUUGGCAGUUCCGGAUGUGUGCACGUCGUGUGCGCACUUCGCGGGGAUUGCUUUUGUGGUCUUGCGUAGGAUGAGGCACUUUUAUUAGUGAACGUCCUCACGCAACCACUUUUUACUGUGAGAAAAUCAGAGUGCUCAAAGCAGGCAUUUGCCGUGAAUGUAUUAGCAUGGAAUAAUAGAAUAGGACUUGGUUCUAUUUUGUUGGUUUGUUGGGACUGAGUAAUGAUUAAGAGGGACAGUUGGGGGCAUUUGUAUUUCGGUGCUUGAGGUGAAAUUCUUAGAUUACCGAAAGACAAACUGCUGCGAAAGCGUCUGCCAAGGAUGUUUUCAUUGA